rnacentral:rRNA from 1 species
UUGAACGCUGGCGGCAUGCUUUACACAUGCCAGUCGAACGGUAACAGGCCUUCGGGUGCUGACGAGUGGCGAACGGGUGAGUAAUGCAUCGGAACGUGCCCAGAGGUGGGGGAUAACGCAGCGAAAGCUGUGCUAAUACCGCAUGUGAUCUGAGGAUGAAAGCAGGGGACCAAGCAGCAAUGUUUGGCCUCGCGCCUCUGGAGCGGCCGAUGUCAGAUUAGGUAGUUGGUGGGGUAAAGGCCUACCAAGCCGACGAUCUGUAGCUGGUCUGAGAGGACGACCAGCCACACUGGGACUGAGACACGGCCCAGACUCCUACGGGAGGCAGCAGUGGGGAAUUUUGGACAAUGGGCGCAAGCCUGAUCCAGCAAUGCCGCGUGCGGGAAGAAGGCCUUCGGGUUGUAAACCGCUUUUGUACGGAACGAAAAGGCUCUGGCUAAUACCUGGGGCUGAUGACGGUACCGUAAGAAUAAGCACCGGCUAACUACGUG